AUGAAGCUUCUUUGUUGGCAAAAAUCAAUUCAUGGUUCUUAAAACAAACAUGGAGAGAAGUGUUAGAGGGUUGUAUUAAACAAAACCCUUUACACUCUCCCUCCAUUUUCAAAAACAGUUUGCUUUGUGCUUUAGCUAUUGGCUUCUCAUAUCACAAAGAGAUUAUAUGUUUUUUUCUGAGUAGCAGAAGCAAAUAAUUAAGCAUUUUUCUCCGAAGGAUCAGAAGUUUUUUGGUUAUAGCAUGGCAAACCGGCAAGUCACAAAAAGGCAACGGAUUCCUUUUUGGGAUCUU
rnacentral:sRNA from 1 species